UACAGAGGGUGCGAGCGUUAAUCGGAAUUACUGGGCGUAAAGCGUGCGUAGUCGGUUAUUUAAGUCAGGUGUGAAAUCCCCGGGCUCAACCUGGGAAUGGCAUUUGGGACUGCAAGGCUUGAGUGCGGCAGAGGAGACUGGAAUUCCCGGUGUAGCAGUGAAAUGCGUAGAUAUCGGGAGGAAUACCGAUGGCGAAGGCAGGUCUCUGGGCUGACACUGACGCUCAUGCACGAAAGCGUGGGGAGCAAACAGG
rnacentral:rRNA from 1 species